rnacentral:rRNA from 1 species
GAUGAAAGCUAGCGGCAGGCUUAAUACAUGCAAGUCGAGGGGCAGCAGUUUUGUAGCAAUACAGAAGCUGGCGACCGGCAAACGGGUGCGGAACACAUACGCAACCUUCCUUUAACUGGAAGAUAGCCCACCGAAAGGUGGAUUAAUACUCCAUAACAUAUUGAAGAGGCAUCUCUUUGAUAUUAAAGCUCCGGCGGUUAAAGAUGGGCGUGCGUAUGAUUAGGUAGUUGGCGGGGUAACGGCCCACCAAGCCUUCGAUCAGUAGCUGAUGUGAGAGCAUGAUCAGCCACACGGGAACUGAGACACGGGCCCGACUCCUACGGGGGGCAGCAGUAAGGAAUAUUGGUCAAUGGACGCAAGUCUGAACCAGCCAUGCCGCGUGGAGGAUGAAGGCCCUCUGGGUUGUAAACUUCUUUUCUUUGGGACGAAACCCCUGUUUCUACGGGGACUGACGGUACCAGAGGAAUAAGCACCGGCUAACUCCGUGCCAGCCGCCGCAGUAAAAC